AGGGAGAAAGAGAGAAUCCUGUGCAAGUUCAGCACUGUCAGCGCAGAGCCCAAUGCAAGACUUGAACUCACGAACUGCAAGAUCAUGACCUGAGCUGAAAUCAAGAGUCAGAUGCUUAAUCAAGUGAGCCACCCAGACACCCCCUGAGUACUUUUAAGUUGAUUCAUGGAAUGUUUUUGGGCACCUACUGUAGACAUUUGCCAGGCAUCAAAAAAGAAUCGUGGACUUCCUCCAGAAGUUUGCAACUUACUUAGGGAGAAGACAUCCAUACCUGAACUAGCUAACCAAAUGUAGUAAGUAAUAUUAAUACAUGCUAAUUUAGAAAAGUGUUGCUCUGCUAAGUGGAUUAGAAAGGAAAGGAAGUUCAGCAGGCUCUGAAGGGCCUGGUGGAGACAGGACUUGAGCUAGACCCCGGGCAGGUGGGAAGGAACUUGGGCUGAACCCCAACUGGCAAUGGGUGUGCUGUGUCCAGGCAGGGCAUUGGAGAGUGGGGAUUACGUUGCCUAGAUUAAGUGGGACUAGGUUGUGACCAGCUAAGGAAUGAGAAGCUAUGAGAGUUUUCUUUUUAAAUUUUGUUUUCUUUUUCUCAAAACGAUCAGCGCACAUAUCUUACGAAGUUAAAUAGUUACACCAGGCUCGUUAUGAAAAUCAGCAGUUCUUAGAAACCCCUUCUGCCUCGUCCUCCAAGGGACAAACCACCUUCCUUCUGUUCUUCCGCCUGAAUCUCUUUGUAUUGACUUUGAGAGUUCAACAAAAAGUGUUUAUAUUACCCCUUCGCAAUUUUUCAGUACUAGCCUAAUCAAUUGAGUUUAUCUGGUAGAAAAUGGAGAUUUUGCUCUGUUCCCUCCUUGUCUCCCAUCAUACUCACAUCCUUGCAGUCGUCCCUUUCCUCCGCAUAAUGGCGUGACUCAGAUCAGAUCAACAUUAAAUGUUGACGUGACUAAGAAUAUAUAAACCCUAUUUGCAGCUUAGCCAGGACACGUAUUAUGACUUACUUCUCCCUUCUGGCACAACCUUUAGUUUUCCCUGGAGUUAACAAUCCUGUUGUUUGUUUACUUUCUACGUAACUGUCACUAAUUCAAGCCAUUCGAUCCCACCAUUUCCAUGUGCAUCCCCUGGAAUUCUCUCCGUGUCAUCUUGAACUCUCUCUGGAGCCUGCUGCCCUGUUCUCUCCCUGCUUAUUGUCCCCCAGAGGUGAGGAUGUGACUGCAAUGCCUUCAGCUUCCCAUGUGACUUCUGUGGAGAUGUCUGGUGCCCCUCCGAUUCUCGGUUCUUCCUUUUGUUACUGUUUUUCUCCCUGGAUGCCUGUAGGAUGUCAUUCAGUGUUCUGACAUUUCACAAUGACAUGUCUUGUUGAUGGCCUGUUUUUCUCCAGCACAGGCACUCUGGAAGCUCACAUGUUUUAGUGUUAGGGGAUUUUCUGAAAUCAAUUUCUUUGAUAAGCUCCUUCACUCAAAGGCCUCUGUUUUCUGUUUCUGGGAUUGUUUCUUUAGCCGUUGGUCCUUACCUUUUCUCUCCUAUUUUUCACAUUUUUGCCUUUUUUCCAUAGUUUGUCUUUUUGAUGUCCUUUAUGGAAGGUUUACUUAGCUCUGUCUUCCAACUCUUCUGUCAUACCUUCUGGUUUUUUGCUAUCGUGGUUUUAAUGUCCAAAGACUCUCUUCAGUGUUCUGGGUGUUCUUUUUAUGGCAACAAAAUUUUAUUUUGUGGCCAUAACAUCUUUUCUUAUCUUAAUAUAUUAUCAACAUAAACAUUCUGGACACCUGAAUCAGGUGAAUGAAUCAGGGCACCUGGCUGACUUAGUCAGUAGAGCACGCAACUCUUGACCUUGGGGUUGUGAGUUCAAGCCCCACGUUGGGUAUAGAUCUUAUUUAAGAAAAAAAAAAAAGACAUAAAGAUUCACUUAUCAGCAUGGCAGUCAGAAUGGUCCUUUGAAAAUAUGUCCUAUCAUGUCAUUCCUCUCAAAAUACCUCGGUGGCUCUGCAUCUGACUCACAGAAAAAUCCUGUGUCCCUGUAGUGGCUGAUGUGGUCUGACAUGAUCUCUCUUCCCCCUGGCCUCCCUGUCAUGGGCUGUUCCACCUCCUGCUCACUCUGUUCCAGCCAUACAGCCUCCUCAGUGUUCCCACAUUGGCACCUUGGCCUUACCUAUUCCUUCUGCCCAGAAUCCCUCACUCCUUCAAGGUUUUGCCCAGAUUGCAUCUUCUCAGUAAGGCAUGCCUUGGCCUCCAUGAUAAUACUGCAACCUGCCCACACUCGCAUCCCACCCCUGCCUACAGCAUCAGCACUCCCGGUCUCCCUUCUCCUGCCCGACUCUAUGCUACCCAUAGCAAUUGUCACUUUCUAGCUCACUAUUUAAUUUUACUUAUUGUGUGUGUUCUUCAUUGCUUUCUGUCCUGUUCCACUCCCUCACCCCAUGCCACUGGGAAGGGCAAACACUCUGUUUUGUUCACUGAUGUUCUCAGCACCUCUGAACCAUGCUUGGCACAAGGGGCACUGGUAGUCUUUGUUGAGUGAAAAGAUUUGUUGAAUGAAUGAAUGAAUGUCUUUGAGGAUAUUCAUGGUUUGUUUUUGGAGUUUCCUUCUCCCUGCAUGCCUUUCUUUUCUCUAGGUUGCUUUUUCUAUUUCUUCACUUCAGUCUCUAUCUCUCAGGUGAUCCAUGACUGUCAGCUCAUGUUACAGAGUCAGGAUACAAAACCUAGUGCAGCUUCUGUGCCUGGGGAAGGGCCUUGUUGACUAUGGGAUCUUCUGUAGGGACCAUUCAUUCAAAGUUACUCGUGGUCAGUAACUUUCGAUCUUUCCUUGAGGCUGGUCUUUCCCAGACAGGGCUGGCCACCAGUGCCUGAGAACAAAGUUGGCAACAAGAGUUGGGAGUCUCGACAUUCGGUCUGUAGACUUUUACUUACUUAACUCCCUGUUCUCAGUAUGCUGCUCUCACCUCACCUGUAAAUGGUAUCUCCCAGCCUCUCGGUCAAAAACCCUGAUUUCACAAACCCUCUGCAAAGAGCAAGCUUCCAGAUUUCUGCAAGGGUAUUGGAGUGAUCUUUGCCCUGUUUCUUAGAGUUGGGGAGGAGAGGUCGGGUUUAACUCAUUUUAUUUUUCACUUUUUAUUGAAGUAUAGCAUACAUAAAAGUACACAAAUCAAAAGCUUGUUGUAUUUUCAUAAACACAUAAAGUCUAAUUUUUAACUAGAUGUUUUAGCCAAUCCAUUCAUGUAUGCUUGACCUCAACUCCACUUUUAGAGGCACUUGGCAUCAUCAACUCCCUGAGUUUGGCGGGGGGCGGGGGGGGGGGGGUCCUAUUAUAAACUCAUGCUGCUUCUCUGCCUUUUCACUUUCUCUUCUGCAAUCAGGAUUCCUCAUUCUCUAGCAAAUGGGACGAAGGUCAGAGUGGGUCAGUCUGCACAGCCUACUUGUCCCUGAGAAGCUGAACCGCUCUCCUAGGACUGCCCGGGGUCCUAAGGUCUGUGUUAGCCCUGGGUGAAAGGAAUCUAGCUGUUGGUGUCCCAGCAAAGCUACACACGAACGUUUUUUCUCUUUGCUCUCUGUGCCACAGAUGAGAGGGAAAGUGAGCGAUGAUUUCAGUAACUGAGCCCUGAUUUUCUUCCUCUUGCCUCCCCCUGUUCUUGUAUGUGGGCCCGUUUUCUUAUCCCCACCCCCUUCCUGCUCUCCUGCACGGAUCCGUACCACGGGCUCUUUGCUCGUACCAUGUUUCCUUCUUCCCCCAAACCCUUGCAGGGCCUGGAUUCUGCUGUGUUCCCACCACCCACGCGCAGAGAAGCUUGUGUCAUCAACAUUAUACUUGCUGCUUGGACCUCCAAUCACCUGUGGCCUCUCUGUCAUUCAACCCAGUUGCUAGGCCUUUGCUCACGCUUCUGCUGGCCUAGCCAAGUUAAAAGACAUGGGCACCACUUCACUCAUUAACUUAUUUACCACAACUGCUCAAUAAAUAUAUGUUAUGCCACUCUCAAAACAAGACUAGCUUCCUUCCUUUUCAAUCUCUACCCUGGAAAGGACUCUUGUAUCUUUUCUUUAAGGGAAAUUGAACUAGAACUCAUUGUGUUUGGGGCACCUAGGUAGCUCGGUUGAGCGUCUGGCUCUUGCUUUCGGCUCAGGUCAUGAUCUCACGGUUCAGGAGUUCAAGCCCUACGUUGGACUCUGUGCUGACAGUGCAGAGCCUGCUUGGAAUUCUCUCUCUCCCUCUCUCUCUCUCUCUCUGCCCCUCCCCUGCUCACACUCUCUCCCUCUCUCUCUCUCUCUCCUUCAAAAUAAAUAAAAACUUAAAAAACAAAUUUUUUUUAAUGUUUGUUUAUUUUUGAAGGAGAAAGAGCGAGUGAGCACAAGUGGGGGGAAGGGAAGAGAGAGAAGGAGGCACAGAAUCUGAAGCAGGCUCCACACUCUGAGCUGUCAGCACAGAGCCUGACAUGGGGCUUGAACCCACCAACGGUGAGAUCAUGAUCUGAGGCGAAGUCAGACACUUAACUGACUGAGCCACCCAGGUGCCCCAAUAGAUAAAAACUUAAAAAAAAAAAAAAAGAAUUCAUUGUGUUUGAAGUUUUGUUUUAUUUUGUUUUUUUAAAAACGUCCUGUUGCUCUUUGAGAUCCUUAGAAAGCCUUGAAGAGCCAGAUCUGGCAAAGAUCAGGUCCUGAGGCCCAAAACCCUGAUUGACAGUCUGCAAUGAGGGUAGAAGGCAGCAGGUCAAAGGCGUGGUUGUCUGUGGUCCAGGAAGGGGACAGAUGUGUGUUGAAAUAUCUCUGGACGCGGCCAAGACUGUGAGAGUGUCUCUGGUCAUCUGGGAUCAGCCUGGGGUUUCCCUGCUACCUGGUCAUUUUCCAGACUUUGAAAAAUCAUAAUUUAUUUAAAUAUGGAACUGUAUUAAAAUUACCCACUCACCUCCAAAGCUAGUAUACUCUUUCAGGAAAAAAAAAGUAUAAUAUAAAAAUAUGUAGAUUCUUUUUAAACCCUUUUCAUUGUGAAAUAUAAUACAUAUACAGAAAAGUGCACAAAACAUAAAUGUAUAGCUUAAAUAAUUGUAAAGUGAAAACUCAAGGAAGCACCUGUCGAGUCAAGAAGCACCACAAGGGCGUCCCGGGCAGAUGGGGCAGGGCUGACAAGAAGGUAAGAGGCGACAAAGCAGAUGUGGCCUGAGAGCUGCCGGCUCCUUAUUGCCAAGAUAUUCUAACGGGAGGGGCCUUGGAGAGAGCGCAGGCAGGUGAGAUCUUGGAGAACCCUCUGUGCCAUGGGGAAGAGGCUAGCCUCCCGUCCCCUACCCCAGCUGCGCGUCCAGCCCUUCUCUUCACUCUCAGCUCAUCCUCUAAAUCUGGCAAAUAACCCAGAGAAAGUAUGACUUUCCUUUGAGGCUAGAAGAUUAGAACAGAAAAUCCCAGUCUUUGAUCAGCCCAUGAAACUCCUGACACUGGAUAAAAACAGACUCUUGUGGGUAAAGAUGAAAAGAGUCACAUGAAAAGAUUCAGGAACACAAAAGAAAAUGGAGCAGGAAAUUAGAGGAGCGUUGCUUCCAGUAACAGGAAAUGUGUCCCAAAAGGAGAUUCAUGUUUGUGGUGAGAUUGGAGAGGACAUUGGAGGGGCCACCUGGAGUCUGGGAAUUCUGCUUUCAGAUGAAUACUGCUUUCUACUCAGGAGUAGAUACUCAGAGAAGACAAUGUUAGGUACAAUUUUUUUCUUUCUUAAUUUUAUUUACUUAGUAAUUAUUUUUUAAGGUUUAUUUAUUUUGAGAGAGAGAGAGGGAGAGUGCACACAAGCAGGGGAGGGGCAGAGAGAGAGAGAGAGAAAGAGAGAGAGAGAGAGAGAGAGAGAGAAUCCCAAGCAGGCUCUGCCAUGUCAGUGCCAAGCCCAACAUGGGGCUCGACCUCACCAACUGCGAGAUCAUGACCUGAGCCUAAAUCAAGAGUCAGACGUUCAGCACACUGAGCCACCCAGGCGCCUCAUAAAUUUAUUUUAGUAAUCUCUAUACCCAACAUGGGGAUUGAAUUUGUGACCCCGAGAUCAAGAGUUGCAUGCUCCUCCAACUGAGCCAGCCAGGUGCCCCGAGAAUGUUAAGCACAACUUGAUGUGAGAGUUUAAAAAUGAAAAUGAAAUGUACUUUUAGAAUAAAAUAUAAAUUCCUAAAAUUGACUCAGUAAGAAAUGGAAAACCCGAAUAGACCCACUAACUCUAAGGGAUAGGAAAGGGGUCGCCAAAGGUCUUAUUCAUCCAAAUUUUGGACCCAGAUGGACAAUAGCAUGGAAAUUUUCUAGCAAAUCUUCAAGAGAGGCUAUCAAUAAUUGCUACAUUCUAGAAUCUUAAGCAUGAGAAAAUUUUAUAAGCCUAGUAUAACCCCUUAUCAAAUCUUGUCUAAAUGAAUUUUUUUAAAAAGUACACACAAAACUCACUUAUAAAUACUGUUUUUAAAAUUGUAAGUAGGGGCUCAGUCGGUUAAGCAUCUGACUUCAGCUCAGGUCAUGAUCUCAUGGUUCAUGGGUUUGGGCCCCACGUCAGGCUCUGUGCUGACAGCUCAGAGCCUGGAGCCUGCUUGGGAUUCUGUGUCUCCCCCUCUUUCUGCCCCUCCCUGACCCGUGCUCUAUCUUUCAAAAAUAAAUAAACAUUAACAAAAAAAUUUUUAAUUGUAAAUAAGCUAUAAGCUCAAAUUCAGCUAUGAGUUAAAACAGGCAAAGUCGAAAGUGUAUUAAAAUCUUUUCUGUACUACUUUCCUUUAAUAGGUUAGAAGACAAAAAUCAUAUGACCCUCCUGAUAGGUGCCAAAGGCAUUAGACAAAAUUCGACAUCUAUUCCUGAUUUAAUAACAAAACUCUCUAACCAGCUUCAAAUAGAUGAACCUUGACAUCAUAAAAGCAUGAAGAAUCAAUGGCAAAUGUCAUACAGUAAAAUACCAGAUGCAUUCCCAUUAAAAUCAGAAACAAGAACCUUUUGGUUAAUCUAAAGAAGUUAAUCUAAAGAUCAAACACGGUGGGGUGAAGAAUCAUUUUACUUCCGGUUGUCAUGGAUCAAUAUUUUUGGUUUAUACACUGUUCCAUGAAGCCAGUCGGCCAUUCACGCGUCUGGAUAUUGUGGCAACAUCGAAUUGCUAUAAAAGUUUCUAAAUGAUUCCUCUCCAGAUAUGUACCUAACUCAUCAUGGCCCAGUGACAAACAGCUCACGGGCCAGCAGUGGUCAGAGGCCACACUGAGUAACCCGGUAUAAGGGCUCAGUCACCUCUUCAUCUGUUCUUCUAAAUGUGGUAAAGACAUUCAAAAAUAAAAAUUCCAAGAACUUGA